UACGUAAGGACCGAGCGUUGUCCGGAAUCAUUGGGCGUAAAGGGUACGUAGGCGGCUAGAAAAGUUAGAAGUCAAAGGCUAUAGCUCAACUAUAGUAAGCUUCUAAAACUAUUUAGCUUGAGAGAUGGAAGGGAAAGUGGAAUUCCUAGUGUAGCGGUGGAAUGCGCAGAUAUUAGGAGGAAUACCGGUGGCGAAGGCGACUUUCUGGCCAUUUUCUGACGCUGAGGUACGAAAGCGUGGGUAGCAAACAGG
rnacentral:rRNA from 2 species